UGGGGAAUAUUGCACAAUGGGCGCAAGCCUGAUGCAGCCAUGCCGCGUGUGUGAAGAAGGCCUUCGGGUUGUAAAGCACUUUCAGCGAGGAGGAAGGUGGUGAACUUAAUACGUUCAUCAAUUGACGUUACUCGCAGAAGAAGCACCGGCUAACUCCGUGCCAGCAGCCGCGGUAAUACGGAGGGUGCAAGCGUUAAUCGGAAUUACUGGGCGUAAAGCGCACGCAGGCGGUUUGUUAAGUCAGAUGUGAAAUCCCCGGGCUCAACCUGGGAACUGCAUUUGAAACUGGCAAGCUAGAGUCUCGUAGAGGGGGGUAGAAUUCCAGGUGUAGCGGUGAAAUGCGUAGAGAUCUGGAGGAAUACCGGUGGCGAAGGCGGCCCCCUGGACGAAGACUGACGCUCAGGUGCGAAAGGCGUGGGGCAGCAAACAGGAUUAGAUACCCUGGUAGUCCACGCUGUAAACGAUGUCGAUUUUGGAGGUUGUGCCCCUUGAGGCGUGGCUUCCGGAGCUAACGCGUUAAA
rnacentral:rRNA from 1 species